UGACUAUGAUAACAGCUGAUAUAAGAUAAUCUGAUGGCUCAAUUUCUGAAUUAUCACAUUAUAAUUCGAAUCUGUGGAUUUUUCCCCCUUGUGGAAAAAUCUAGGUCAUUUCAUGCACGUUCACUCACACAUGUUGUUUCUACUCCGGAAGUACGCAUCCACAUAUAUCCAGUCAUUACCAUCUCCAGAACCACCCAAAAGUAUUCUACUCCUAAUCCGGGAGAGAAUAGCCGAAAAACAUUUCUGUUUUCCCCUGUGAAAUAAAUGCUCAAGUUAUCUUGGUUACUACCACUUGCUACAUUAUUUCAAGAGAUGAGUGCUCUAAAAAAAGAAGAAAAGUAUACGAGGAAAUAAAAAUGGGCAAGUGCCCGGAACCUCGAACGAAAAAGUGAGACGAGAGGUAAAAAUGGACAAGUGUCCGACAGUAGAAUUAGGGGUACAAGAUACCCACCUGAGAGGAAAGAAAAAGAAAAAGUAGAGCAUCUCAUUCUCCUCAAAAGUUUCAAAAUAGCAAGAAAGGUAUGUAUCCCCUCAAAAGAGCACAAGUAGAAUUAGACUUUCACCAUUGUUUUCACCAUUAUCACCAUCAUCACCAUACACCAUUCAUUCGCCACAC
rnacentral:lncRNA from 1 species